rnacentral:rRNA from 1 species
UACGUAGGGGGCAAGCGUUGUCCGGAUUUAUUGGGCGUAAAGAGCGUGUAGGCGGCUUUACAGGUCCGUUGUGAAAACUCGAGGCUCAACCUCGAGACGCCGGUGGAAACCGUAAGGCUAGAGUCCGGAAGAGGAGAGUGGAAUUCCUGGUGUAGCGGUGAAAUGCGCAGAUAUCAGGAAGAACACCCGUGGCUAAGGCGGCUCUCUGGGACGGUACUGACGCUGAGACGCGAAAGCGUGGGGAGCGAACAGG